UUAACUGGAGGAAGGUGGGGAUGACGUCAAGUCCUCAUGGCCCUUAUGUCCUGGGCUACACACGUGCUACAAUGGCGGUGACAGUGGGAAGCUAGGUGGUGACACCAUGCUGAUCUCUAAAAGCCGUCUCAGUUCGGAUUGCACUCUGCAACUCGAGUGCAUGAAGGUGGAAUCGCUAGUAAUCGCGGAUCAGCAUGCCGCGGUGAAUACGUUCCCGGGCCUUGUACACACCGCCCGUCACACCAUGGGAGUUGGUUUGACCUUAAGCCGGUGAGCGAACCGCAAGGACGCAGCCGACCACGGUCGGGUCAGCGACUGGGGGAAGUCGAACAAUGAGCAGCCC
rnacentral:rRNA from 1 species